GAGUUNGNUCCUGGCUCAGGAUGAACGCUGACAGAAUGCUUAACACAUGCAAGUCUACUCGAAAGCUCUUCGGAGUGAUUAGGGUGGCGGACGGGUGAGUAACGCGUAAAGAACUUGCCCUUCAGACUGGGACAACUGUUGGAAACGACAGCUAAUACCGGAUAUUAUGAGACUAAGGCAUCUUAGACUUAUGAAAGCUAUAUGCGCUGAAGGAGAGCUUUGCGUCCUAUUAGCUAGUUGGUGAGGUAAUGGCUCACCAAGGCGACGAUAGGUAGCCGGCCUGAGAGGGUGAACGGCCACAAGGGGACUGAGACACGGCCCUUACUCCUACGGGAGGCAGCAGUGGGGAAUAUUGGACAAUGGACCAAAAGUCUGAUCCAGCAAUUCUGUGUGUUUGAUGAAGGCCUUCGGGUUGUAAAGAACUUUCAGUGGGGAAGAAGCAAGUGACGGUACCCACAGAAGAAGCGACGGCUAAAUACGUGCCAGCAGCCGCGGUAAUACGUAUGUCGCAAGCGUUAUCCGGAAUUAUUGGGCAUAAAGGGCGUCUAGGCGGUCUAAUAAGUCUGAUGUGAAAAUGCGGGGCUCAACUCCGUAUUGCGUUGGAAACUGUUAGACUAGAGUUUUGGAGAGGUAGGCGGAACUACAAGUGUAGAGGUGAAAUUCGUAGAGAUUUGUAGGAAUGCCGAUGACGAAGGUAGCUUACUGGACAAAUACUGACGCUGAAACGCGAAAGCUAGGGGAGCAAACAGGAUUAGAUACCCUGGUAGUCCUAGCUGNAAACGAUGAUCACUGGGUGCGGGGGCGUCGAACNUCUGUGCCCAAAGUUAAUGCGAUAAGUGAUUCGNCNGGNGGAGUACGGCCGCAAGGNUUAAACCUUCAAAGGAAUUUGACGGGGNAACCCCCACCAAUUGGUGGGAGCAUG
rnacentral:rRNA from 1 species